rnacentral:rRNA from 1 species
AUUGAACGCUGGCGGCAUGCCUUACACAUGCAAGUCGAACGGUAACAGGUCUUCGGAUGCUGACGAGUGGCGAACGGGUGAGUAAUACAUCGGAACGUGCCCGAUCGUGGGGGAUAACGAGGCGAAAGCUUUGCUAAUACCGCAUACGAUCUACGGAUGAAAGCGGGGGAUCUUCGGACCUCGCGCGGACGGAGCGGCCGAUGGCAGAUUAGGUAGUUGGUGGGAUAAAAGCUUACCAAGCCGACGAUCUGUAGCUGGUCUGAGAGGAUGAUCAGCCACACUGGGACUGAGACACGGCCCAGACUCCUACGGGAGGCAGCAGUGGGGAAUUUUGGACAAUGGGCGAAAGCCUGAUCCAGCCAUGCCGCGUGCAGGAUGAAGGCCUUCGGGUUGUAAAAUGCUUUUGUACGGAACGAAAAGCCUCUUUCUAAUAAAGAGGGGUCAUGACGGUACCGGAAGAAUAAGCACCGGCUAACUACGUG